rnacentral:rRNA from 1 species
GAUGAACGCUGGCGGCGUGCCUAAUACAUGCAAGUCGAGCGAACGGACGAGAAGCUUGUUCCUCUGAUGUUAGCGGCGGACGGGUGAGUAACACGUGGAUAACCUACCUAUCAGACUGGGAUAACUUCGUGAAACCGGAGCUAAUACUGGAUAAUAUUUUGAACCGCAUGGUUCAAAAGUGAAAGACGGUCUUGCUGUCACUUAUAGAUGGAUCCGCGAUGGAUUAGCUAGUUGGUAAGGUAGCGGCUUACCAAGGCAACGAUGCAUAGCCGACCUGAGAGGGGGAUCGGCCAAGCUGGAGAUAAAGCUGGGUCCGGACUCCUACGGGAGGGCGCAGUAGGCACUGUUCCGCUAUGGGCGAAAGCCUGACAGAGCAACGCCGCGUGAGUGAUGACGGUCUGCCGAUCGUAAAACUGUGCUAUUAGGGUAGAACAUCUGUGGCAGUACCGGGGCACAACGUGACAGUACUUAAACAGAAAGCCACGGCUAACUCCGUG